UACGAAGGGGGCUAGCGUUGUUCGGAAUCACUGGGCGUAAAGCGCACGUAGGCGGACUUUCAAGUCAGAGGUGAAAUCCUGGAGCUCAACUCCAGAACUGCCUUUGAUACUGAGAAUCUUGAGUAUGGGAGAGGUGAGUGGAACUGCGAGUGUAGAGGUGAAAUUCGUAGAUAUUCGCAAGAACACCAGUGGCGAAGGCGGCUCACUGGCCCAUAACUGACGCUGAGGCACGAAAGCGUGGGGAGCAAACAGG
rnacentral:rRNA from 1 species